rnacentral:misc_RNA from 1 species
UUUUUUCUUAGGAGAUAAACUGUGCCAGAUGUUAGACAAAAGAUUAGUGGAACAUAAGAACAGUUAUGGUGAGAUUGAAAACAUUCCUAAAAUCAUGGAUGAUGGUAAUCUAGAAAAUCCAUCUACAUCAACUAAUCUUGUAGAGCAUGAAGUGCAAGAAAAGACUGUGGAAGACAUUCCUCUACAACAGAAAUUUCAAAGAAUAUCGAUGGAAAAGGCAAAUAAACCUAGACAGAGAAGGCCAUAUGUUCCAGCCCCUCGAAGUGGAAGUCAUGCGUUGAUGUUAGCACUUCACAAAGCACAGGUUAAAGGUGGACACAAGUUUAUGAAGAAGGCAGACUUGAUCAAUGAAGCUCAACCUUUAUGUGAUGUUUCAUUUACCAUGCCAGAUCCAGGAUCUCACUAUAAUGCUUGGUCAAAUAUGAGCACAUUGAUUAAAAAAGGACUUGUCAUUAAAGAAGGAAAUCCAGCAAGGUAUAGCCUGACAGAAGCAGGAAUGGGUCUUUCAACACAACUUCAAGGUCAACUUGAAACUCCCCAGCUGAAUAAUGUACCCUUUAAUUCUGCUAAGUUGACCCUUCAGCAGAGUGAUUCUCAUUCACUGUACUAUGACUCUCACAAAAUUAAUCUAGUUGUUGAAGCAUCAAAAACAAAUGGAAGUCUUAACAAUUUCAAAUCACUUCCAAAACGUCCAUUUUUGUCAAGGUUUCUGUAUUGUUAUAUUGAUGAAAAUUAUUGUGAGGUGACCAGCAAGGAUAAAGCCUUAGUUUUGAUGGAUGAUGAGAUGUCAUUAGGAUUUUUAAUAAAGUGUGAGAAAAAAGCAUUACUUGAUUCAGGGAAGCGUUACAAGUUAGAAGAAAAUAGGCUAGCAGACUCUCAUUAUGUUUAUGCAUAUUUACAUAAUGAUGAUGCCGAAGAGUUUUGCCCAAUACAGUGUUCAAUCUUAGAAUUAAAUCCCCAGCACUGUCAGUCUGAGAUCAUUGAAAUGGAAGAUGGUGAUGUAGAUAUGGUGGCAGUGACAUUAUCACCCAGAAUAGGAUUAGACAUUAGAAAUGCUAUGCCAAAUGUCUUUCUGCCUUCAUCACAUAACAACCACUCAAGGAUGGAAGAAGUAAACCCUGUAGUUGAUACUUUAUUUCCUACUUCUUACAACAGCUGUUACAGAGGGAAAGAAGUUGAAAUAGUAGAGAAUGCAUCCUUUCCUUCUUCACAAAAUGUCUGCUACAGUAGCACAUCAGACCAGUUUUUAUUGAGACCUGGAAUGUUUGAUAUUGUACUUUGUGUUGACAACUGUGAGACAUCUGGAGGUACCUCAGCAAAGCGAAAAAUGGCAGUUCUUCCUGAACUUCAGAGAAAUGGGGUACCACAUGUUGUUCGAAAGCUUCAUGUUGGAGACUUUUUAUGGAUAGCAAAGGAAAAAGUUGAGCCCUUACCAGGAUCUCUUCAGCUUCCACAAGCCCGAGAACUUGUUUUGGAUUUUAUAGUUGAGAGGAAGAGAAUGGAUGAUCUUGCAAGCAGUAUUAAAGAUGGAAGGUUUCGGGAACAAAAGUUUCGGAUGAAGGCAUGUGGGUUAUGCCGGCCGAUCUAUUUGGUGGAAGACUUUGGAUCAGGUCACCUUGGCUUACCUGAUAAAACACUACAACAAGCUAUUUUUAAUACACAGGUAAUUGACGGUUUCACCAUUAAACGAACAAGAGACCAGAAGGAAUCUAUAGCCUAUCUUACCCUGAUAACUCGUCAUCUUCAAAACCAAUACAAAGAUCAAACCCUUGCAUCAUGUACAAAAGAGGAUGUGGUAUGUGAUAAACGUCGUUCCCAAUCUUUUAUGACUUUUCAUGAAUUCAACAACUCUUCAAUGAAAAAUAAGCCAAUGACAGUAAAAGAAGUGUUUGUGAAGCAACUUUUACAAAUCCGAGGAUUGUCUGUUGACAAGGCUGCUUCUAUAAUUGAACACUAUCCUACUCCUGUCACACUUCUGGAAGCUUAUGACAGGUGUUUAAGUGACAGUGAAAAAGAAAAACUGAUUUCUUCAAUCAAGUAUGGAAAAAAUAAUAGGAAAAUAGGACCAGCUUUGAGUAGAAUAAUAUAUCAGCUAUAUUGUGCUAAAGGGCCCUUGUCUUGAUGAAGAAGAGUUAGUAACUGACUUACAAGCAAAGUAUCGGUACUUGGGAAGAAGAAUUGUUGGCAUCCAAUUCACUAGCAGAUAAUCAUAAUUAGGAUAAAGGAAUUGUUGAUAUCCAACUAACUAGUGACAGAUAAUUCUUGAGAUGAUAAAGUGUUGGUAACUUGUUUAUUCAGUGAAAACACAUUGUUGGGAUGAAAAAAUUUUAAACUUACUAGAGAAAUAACAUUGUCGAAAUGAAGAAAUGCUGAUAUCCAAUUUACCAGGGAAAGUUUAUUGUUGGGAUGAUAACAUGUUAUCCAGUUUAUUAAUGAAAGAUCGUUUUAUUAGUUUGAAGUGUUAGUAAUUGACUUACUAGUAAAAUAUCAGUACUUGGCAUCCAACUUAUAAAUGAAAGACCAUUUUCAGUACUUGGGGAAAUAGAAAUGUUGGCAUAUAAGUUAUUAGUGAAAGAUCAUUGUUGGGAUGAAGAAACCCUGAUAUUCAAUUUAAUAAUGAAGGAUCAUUGUGUGAAUAAAGAAUUACUGAUUUCUGAUUUACUGGUAAAAGAUUAAUUUGACAAGGAGUAGUUGCUAUGGAGUUUAUUAUUUAUCAACAUUGUUGGGAUGAAGAAAUAUUCAUUGAAAAGUGGUUGUUGGAAGAGAAUAUUAAACAUUACUGAAGAGCUGUAAAGUAUCAGAUGUAGAACAGAAGACCUACUGUUCUAAUAAAUAUAUUUAACAUCAUAUUAGGUAGAGAUGUAUCAGCAAAUAAUUCAACGUACUUUGAAAAUCGGUUGGUUGAACUUCCAUGGACCUUAUCCAUGACCAAGUCAAACACCUCAACUCUGUAUAUGUCGACUGCCGUUUCUGAGACCUCGCCAGCAACAAUCUCUCCAGGCAUUUUCCUCGUAAAAGACUCAAAUUUCUGGCAAGCAUUUAUCAAUUACGCAUGAUAUGACUUUCUCAUAAAAUAAGUCUUUGACAAAAGUGUUAGCAUAUUGCAAGUUUUUUACCAAAGUCAUAACUCAGAUAUCUAAUUUGUGGCCUAACCAUAUUCACCACUUUAUAAGCAACAACACAAUCAAGACCAGCAGUGCUGUCUGAUAUGCACUUCUGUUGUAUCUUUCAAGUGUUCUAUGCAACAAGAGAAACAAUUGUUUACCUUCAUCUAACUUUGAAUCAACAAAAAUCGGAAGCUAUUUCUGUGCAACUCAGUUGUUUGUAAGCAUUGUUAUACACGUAGAUGUGUUACAUUGUCACCUCACGUGACCUUCGAUUUAGAAUGUUUUCGUUUACGGAUUUACUGUUCAGCUAGUGAUACCUG